rnacentral:misc_RNA from 1 species
UCAGACAUGAAAUCUCAUGAAUCCAUAUCUGACAAAACUAUCUAAUUAUAUAAUGUAUUAUACAUAAACAUUUAUACAGAAGUUGAGAAAAAAAGAAAUGAAAAGAAAAGAAAAAGAUUUGGCAUGAGCUCUCAGCAAGGAAGGUCUUUUCGCCCAUUGAAAACUCCAAACCUUCAACCCCCACUUUUAAUUGUUGUGUUGUGUACUAGUAUGAGCAAUAGCAUUAAUUCACACAUAUUG